rnacentral:sRNA from 1 species
UGGUUAAUUGUCAGGUAUUAAUUGUUAUUCAGCGUUCAGCCCUCCGCAUUUCCCCCCUUUGAAGGGAUAACAUCCCCCCUUCGCUUCGCUCUUCCCCCCUUUGAAGGGGGGGCUGGGGGGAUGUCCCUCUGCGUUCGGAUACCGUGUAUCCGGCAUAAAAAUUAACAAUUGACAAUUAAUUUGUCAUUCAGAGCGAAGCGAAGAAUCUCUUUUUUGUCACUUUUGGCUUGACCCAAAAGUAACCAAAAGUCAAGGCUUCGUGCGCUUCGCACGCCCUCGUGACGCUUGCAGGCAAGCGAGUUACCUGAUUUUCCGCGCUUCGGACAGCCUGAUUUUCUUACGCCCCGCUCGCUGCUCCGUCGGCUCACCGCCCGAGGCCCAUGGGACGAACGCCUCUGCGUUCGCCUUUUUCCCCAACGCUUCGCAUUGGGCUGAAUGAUCUCGCCCUUUCAGGGCUGUUACAUCGGUCAGCCAUCAGCAAACAGAUCAACAACUCAACAGCUCAACCCCUCAACAAUUCAACAGCUCAACAUCUCAACACUUGCAGGGCUGAAAGCCUGAAUUAAUUCAGCGAUCAGCGUUCAGCAGUCGGAUUAAACUUGCCAUGUUCUGAGUUCUUUACCGGUUCGUGUUUAUACCGGAAGAAGAUGGCGAAAAGAAUCGUGACUGCGAGCGCAUAACCUGCAAAGAUAUACCAUGCCGUCUGCCAUCCGGCCAAUUGCGCGGCCGGGUCGGCGAUUUGCGAAUAAACCGUGCGAUUAACGACCGUUUGCGCAGCCAACAUCCCAAUCGAUGCCCCCAAACCGUUUGUCAUCAUCAUAAAAACGCCUUGCGCGCUGCUGCGAAUCUCCGGAUUCGUUUCCCGAUCGACAAACAGCGAGCCGGAAAUGUUGAAGAAAUCGAAUGCAAUGCCGUACACGAUCAUCGAAAGGAUAAACAUCCACACGCCGUCGCCGGGAUUGCCGGCCCCAAACAGACCGAAGCGAAGCACCCACGCGAGCAUGGCCAUCAACAUCACCCGUUUGAUGCCGAAACGGUUCAGGCAGAAAGGUAUCAGCAGGAUAAAACAUGUUUCGGACAUCUGCGAGAUCGAGAUCAGGAUAUUGGCGUGCUGUACGCCGAAAGUCUCUUUAUAGAAGGGGAUUUCGGCGAAGGUUGCAAUGAAAGGAUUGGCGUAGCCGUUCGUGAUCUGCAACGAUACACCGAGCAACAUGGAGAAAAUAAAGAAGACGGCCAUCUUCUUUUCUUUGAAGAGGCUGAAAGCACGCAGGCCGAGCGCACCGACGAGCGAGUUCGUGUUGGCUUUACGGUUGACCGCGCAACGCGGAAGCGUGAACGAGUAGGCCGCGAGCAGAAGUCCCAGUACACCGGAAACGGCGAACUGCUUCGGUCCGGCCUGAAAUCCGAUCAGAUCAAUCAAAAUCAUGGUGCAGAUGAACCCGAUCGUGCCGAAUACGCGAAUCGACGGGAACACUUUCACCGCAUCCAGCCGGGCUUUGUCUAAUGCCGAGUAGGCGACCGAGUUGGCCAAGGCCACCGUCGGCAUAUAAAAGGCGAUGCUGAGGGUGUAAAGCGUAAAAAGCAGCGGGAAGGAGACAUCGGCCCCGGCGGAAAGGCCAUACAUCGAAACGGCGAGCAUCAACGAUCCGGCCAGAAA